rnacentral:rRNA from 1 species
AACUGCGAGUGAAGCGGGAAAAGCUCAAAUUUAAAAUCUAAUGGUCUUUGGCCGUUCGAGUUGUAAUUUAGAGAAGCGUCUUCCGCGCCAGGACCAUGUACAAGUCUCCUGGAAUGGAGCGUCAUAGAGGGUGAGAAUCCCGUCUUUGACAUGGACCCUCGGUGCUUCUGUGAUGCGCUCUCAAAGAGUCGAGUUGUUUGGGAAUGCAGCUCAAAAUGGGUGGUGAACUCCAUCUAAGGCUAAAUAUUGGCGAGAGACCGAUAGCGAACAAGUACCGUGAGGGAAAGAUGAAAAGCACUUUGGAAAGAGAGUGAAACAGUACGUGAAAUUGUUGAAAGGGAAACGCUUGAAGUCAGUCGCGUCGAUCGAGACUCAGCCUUGCCUCGGCUUGGUGUACUUCUUGACUUUGACGGGCCAGCAUCAAUUUUGUCCCUCGGAUAAUGGCAAGUGAAAUGUGGCACCCGCACGGGUUGUGUUAUAGUCUCUUGUCGCAUACGAGGGGUGGGAUUGAGGACCUCAGCACGCACCUCACGGUGUCGGGGCUUCGGCUCACGUUACGUGCUUAGGAUGCCGGCGUAAUGGCUUUAAAUGACCCGUCUUGAAACACGGACCAAGGAGUCUAACAUGCCUGCGAGUGUUCGGGUGGAAAACCCGUGUGCGUAAUGAAGUAAAAGUUGKGACCUCUGUCUGGAGGGCACCGAUGCCCGGACCAGACCUUCUGUGACGGAUCUGCGGUAGAGCAYGCAUGUUGGGACCCGAAAGAURGUGAACUAUGCCUGAAUAGGKUG